rnacentral:rRNA from 1 species
UACGGGGGGGGCAAGCGUUGUUCGGAAUUACUGGGCGUAAAGGGCUCGUAGGCGGCCAACUAAGUCAGACGUGAAAUCCCUCGGCUUAACCGGGGAACUGCGUCUGAUACUGGAUGGCUUGAGUUUGGGAGAGGGAUGCGGAAUUCCAGGUGUAGCGGUGAAAUGCGUAGAUAAUCUGGAGGAACACCGGUGGCGAAGGCGGCAUCCUGGACCAACACUGACGCUGAGUGAGCGAAAAGCCAGGGGAGCAAACGGGG